rnacentral:rRNA from 1 species
CCUACGGGAUGCAGCAGUGGGGAAUAUUGCACAAUGGGCGCAAGCCUGAUGCAGCCAUGCCGCGUGUGUGAAGAAGGCCUUCGGGUUGUAAAGCACUUUCAGCGGGGAGGAAGGCGGUGAGGUUAAUAACCUUGGCGAUUGACGUUACCCGCAGAAGAAGCACCGGCUAACUCCGUGCCAGCAGCCGCGGUAAUACGGAGGGUGCAAGCGUUAAUCGGAAUUACUGGGCGUAAAGCGCACGCAGGCGGUCUGUCAAGUCGGAUGCGAAAUCCCCGGGCUCAACCUGGGAACUGCAUUCGAAACUGGCAGGCUAGAGUCUUGUAGAGGGGGGUAGAACUCCAGGUGUAGCGGUGAAAUGCGUAGAGAUCUGGAGGAAUACCGGUUGCGAAGGCGGCCCCCUGGACUAAGACUGACGCUCAGGUGCGAAAGCGUGGGGAGCAAACAGGAUUAGAUACCCUCGUAGUC